UACGUAGGGCGCAAGCGUUUAUCCGGAAUUAUUGGGCGUAAAGAGCUCGUAGGCGGUUUGUCGCGUCUGCCGUGAAAGUCCGGGGCUCAACUCCGGAUCUGCGGUGGGUACGGGCAGACUAGAGUGAUGUAGGGGAGACUGGAAUUCCUGGUGUAGCGGUGAAAUGCGCAGAUAUCAGGAGGAACACCGAUGGCGAAGGCAGGUCUCUGGGCAUUAACUGACGCUGAGGAGCGAAAGCAUGGGGAGCAACAGG
rnacentral:rRNA from 1 species